rnacentral:rRNA from 1 species
AUGCUUAACACAUGCAAGUCGAACGGUAGCAGGCGUAGCAAUACGUGCUGACGAGCGGCGAACGGGUGAGUAAUGCUUCGGAAUCUUCCUAGUAGUGGGGCAUAACCUGGGGAAACUCAGGCUAAUUCCGCAUACGACCUAUGGGUGAAAGCAGGGGAUCGCAAGACCUUGCGCUAUUAGAUGAGCCGAAGUCGGAUUAGCUAGUUGGUGGGGUAAAGGCCUACCAAGGCGACGAUCCGUAGCUGGUCUGAGAGGACGACCAGCCACACUGGGACUGAGACACGGCCCAGACUCCUACGGGAGGCAGCAGUGGGGAAUAUUGGACAAUGGGGGCAACCCUGAUCCAGCGACGCCGCGUGUGUGAAGAAGGCCUGCGGGUUGUAAAGCACUUUUAGUGGGGACAAAAAGCCACGGGCUAAUACCCUUUGGUCUUGAUUUAACCCAAAGAAAAAGCACCGGCUAACUCUGUGCCAGCAGCCGCGGUAAUACAGAGGGUGCAAGCGUUAAUCGGAAUUACUGGGCGUAAAGCGUGCGUAGUCGGUUAUUUAAGUCAGGUGUGAAAUCCCCGGGCUCAACCUGGGAAUUGCAUUUGAGACUGGAUAGCUAGAGUUCGGCAGAGGGAAGUGGAAUUUCAGGUGUAGCGGUGAAAUGCGUAGAUAUCGGAAGGAACACCAGUGG